UACGUAGGGUGCAAGCGUUGUCCGGAAUUAUUGGGCGUAAAGAGCUCGUAGGCGGUCUGUUGCGUCGGCUGUGAAAACCCGGGGCUCAACCCCGGGCCUGCAGCCGAUACGGGCAGACUAGAGUUCGGCAGGGGAGACUGGAAUUCCUGGUGUAGCGGUGAAAUGCGCAGAUAUCAGGAGGAACACCUGCGGCGAAGGCAGCUCGCUGGGACGUGACUGACGCUGAGACGCGAAAGCGUGGGGAGCAAACAGG
rnacentral:rRNA from 1 species